GGUAAAAACAAGAAUAAUCUCGAACAUUUUAAUAUUUAAGGCAACUUAAAAUACAACUAAUAAUUAUUUAUAAUAACAUUGUUAUCUAAUUAUUUUAUCUGUAAUAUAUUUUAAUUAUAAAUGAUAAAACCAAAUUAUUGUGAUAGUGCAGUAAGUGUUUCUUUUUUGUGGUCAGGAUAUUUUUUGCGGUAAUCACUAACAACUUGUAGAAGGUAUUGUUUUUGAGAUUCGUUUUUGGUAAUUUUGUCAUUAUAGUCCUCUAUAAGUUUUACUCCUCUUUCUGCUACAUCGUUUAUUACUGGAAUAUUUUUUUAUAACUAACAAAGUUUUAGAAUAGUCUUCAUUAUUUUCCCAACUAAUUGGAUCUUCA